rnacentral:rRNA from 1 species
CCUGCCUGCCACUUCACUAAGAUGGACAGGUUAGACACAAGGAAAGAAGAAUCUUGAUAGUUUCAUCUCCACCACCACCUAUAACAUUAUGGGGUCCGGAAUUAAUAUUGAUAAUUUGCACGCUUUGCUGAUCAGCUUACAUGUAGAGAGAUGCCAAGCUGUCUCUUUGUAAACUUUGAUGUACCCAGGAUAACAACCUCUAACGAUGUUAGUGUAGAUUAUGAAACAAAAUCUGGACUGCAUUUCUCGUCACCCAACAUGAAAAAUAUUCAUUGUCCAUCCAAGGAAAACACCAAAGAUACAUGUCAAACAUCUUACCGAGGAUGCUAGAAACAUUUUUUAAGUAAGGUUUGAACUUGUCUAGGCUGGGCCAUUCUCAAGAAGCAAGGCUUGUUUUGACAUCUGCAUGAGCUCUAUUUUCUGUAGAUCAGCAGCCAAGAUCAAAAGUUCUACAAGCUCAAUCCCAGCAGCUGAAACACUGUCUAGUCCAGUAAUUGUGUGAUCGCC